AUUGAACGCUGGCGGAAUGCUUUACACAUGCAAGUCGAACGGCAGCACGGGUGCUUGCACCUGGUGGCGAGUGGCGAACGGGUGAGUAAUAUAUCGGAACGUGCCCAGUCGUGGGGGAUAACGCACCGAAAGGUGUGCUAAUACCGCAUACGCCCUGAGGGGGAAAGCGGGGGAUCGUAAGACCUCGCGCGAUUGGAGCGGCCGAUAUCUGAUUAGCUAGUUGGUAGGGUAAAGGCCUACCAAGGCGACGAUCAGUAGCUGGUCUGAGAGGAUGAUCAGCCACACUGGGGCUGAGACACGGCCCAGACUCCUACGGGAGGCAGCAGUGGGGAAUUUUGGACAAUGGGGGCAACCCUGAUCCAGCCAUUCCGCGUGAGUGAAGAAGGCCUUCGGGUUGUAAAGCUCUUUCGGCCGAGAGCAAAUCCUUUGACCUAAUACGUCUGAGGGAUGAGAGUAUCGGAAGAAGAAGCACCGGCUAACUACGUGCCAGCAGCCGCGGUAACAC
rnacentral:rRNA from 1 species